GCAGAGCCCUCCCCAGCCAGGAUCCCUGAGUGACAGCCCACCCUCUUCCCUUGGGCUCUGCUGUCCCUGGACUGCUCUGGUGUCCUGAGGGCCAUGUCCCUCUCCCAGCUCAGGACAGAGUCUCCAAGGAGGUGCGAGAGCAAGAAACAGAAAGAUGUGGGGACAUGCUCGCAGGGUCAGCUCUUGUUUCCUCCAAAGUGGAGCCAGAACUUGCAAGGCAGGGUAAAGCAAGCUACUUGUGGGCGGGGGCCCUGUGACUGGGUUUUUCGGGUCUCUCGCAGCUGUCUUGCACACAUCUCGUUGGACAAGCAUUUUUUACAAGGUGACUCACCUUUAUUGACUGUUUCAACCUACAUAUCAUAAAAAAACAAUCCAUUCUUAUUACCCUCAUAUCUCAUUAAUUGGCACAUAUUUAAUUAGAUUGCUUCCUUAUUAUGACACGUGCAGCUGGCAGGAACAACACUGGGAAUAAACCCGCAGGCUCUCGAGGUGGCUCAGCGUGCUUUCCAGAGGAGAGGGUGAACCCCGGCUCCGGGGGGUGAGUGGCGGGGUGGGUGUCGGUCCCAGAUGGUGCCCACCUGCAGAGAUCACAAAAUCCCUCUGAGCACCCACUAUUUGUGAACUAAUACUUACAAAGUGUCAAACCAGUCCCUGGGGUGCA